CACACACACACUACUCUCUCUCUCUCUCUCUCUCUCUCUCUCUCUCUCUCUCUCUCACACACACACACACACACACACACACACAGAGUGACUCUGGGACACACACACUCUGGGGCACAUAACAAGGAUGGAAAAAAUUAGGGGGAACAUUGCCUCUUGGUUGUCUUUAACUUUGGCCUGAACUUCUCUCCCCUCCUCCAUUGGAACUUGUAAGAAGUCCUUUCAGAAACAGUAGAAAAGUAUCUGAUUUUUUGUGGACUUCAACAAUUAAUCUCUAUCCACAGUUCAUUCCAGGGUUCUCUUGGUUAAUAAAUGAAGACAGGAAAGAAAAAGAAAAGACAAAGAAACGGAAACACUGCCCACCACAGUCAUUAUUCUGGAGGAGUUGCAGGAUAUUCAACUUGUUUGGAAAUGGAGGGUCCAGGGGCAUGGGUCAAGGGCAGAGGCAUCUCAGCUUUCAUCCUGGGACUUCAGGACACAUUCUGGGUCAUGAUGAAGGAUUCAUCAAACCACUGUUUUGUGGUGGUAGGGGGAAUGCUUCCAAUGUGAAAGAGUGGAGCACACCAUUUAAAAGAAGGGUAGCGAUGGAGGGAAAAGAAAUUUCUGAAAUGAUCACAGAAAUAACAUGCAUUCAAGAAACAACAAAGGAGAAAAACAAUGAAAGUGGGAGUGCAUAUUUUACUGCAGCCCGAGGAUUUCAGUAGCUGAUGCAUUCACAGAAAGUCUCUUACAGUCUUACUGUCUUUUACUACAAUGCAAAUUUAUUCUGCCUGAGUAAUAACUACCACAAUACUGUCAUUCCCCAAUUACGUUGAUAUAGUCAGUCACACACUGCUGAAAUAAAGAGUCAGAAGCAGGAAAUAUGAUGUUUUUU
rnacentral:lncRNA from 1 species